ACUAACACAUACACAACAGCCAAUAUAUUGCCCUGUUAUUUUGGAGAGUCUACUGGAUGAUCAGUACACAGAGAAUGCUAACAAACAUCAUGAGGAAAUCAAAACAUUUUAAAAUGCAUAAAUGUAUGCACCAAAUAUUGGCCUGGCUAGAAAUGAGUAAUUGGACAUGGGUGAGGCCUCAUUUUUUGGAAGACAGGGUUAGCGUGGUAAAUGGAUCAGCAGGCUGCAAAAAGAAAGUUGGUAAGAUAAGAGGGAAACACCCAGGGAACCAAUUACAACAAACAAGAUAACAAUGGAGAAGAUAAGCCUGGAAAGGAAGAUGAGAACAAGAACAAUGUCUAUUGGCAAGAUUGUGGCCAGCUACCAUACAAGUUCACAAGAUGAAACGGCUUUGGGACUUACUGCAACUUUCAAGGUAAAGAGGAGAUGAAGAGGUACCAAAGUCUUUUAAAUAAAAGCAGGAGCAAAAAGGAAGGAUAACAGCGGAACUUAUGCAAACUGGUUUUCAAGUAUUGAAAAAUGGCUGAAAAGUUCCAGAAAGAUCACUUGAUCUCUACUACACAAACUAAAAUUAUCGGUUCAUAGCACAUUAUUUUCAGAGAGUCUGGAUAACAAUCUUACUGAACAAAUUUUUCAAAAAAGGUAUGAAAGGAAAUAAAAAAAAUUAAAAAUCAGUUUCUACUACAGAAAUGCCCAGAGGCCCCAAGUGAAACCAGGGCCCUAUUGUGCAAGGCUUUGUAAAAACAGAGUAAAAGUAAUUGCCACAAAGAGCUUAUAGUCUAAUUUAAGACAGCAGCUGUAACAAACAUUCAGAAGGAAAAAAGGAAGAAAGGCUGCAAGAAACCUUAACAACAUGCUUUUAGAGAGGCCGCCUAUAUACACAGCUGGAUGGUUUCAAGACGGUUAAUUUCUAAAAACAAACAAAAAUAAAUUAUCAAAUAUAAACACACAAGAUAAAUAACUGAAGUCUGUACUUGCCGUCUACCUAACAUUAUCACUUGGCAGUAUCCUGUUGGCAUCACAGUCAAAAUAGGUUCUGAAGAAAGAUUUGAUGUAGGGUGCGUAAGUUACUUUAUGGAUCAGUUGG